rnacentral:rRNA from 1 species
GCGAAAGGAUCAUUACAGUAGUCGCCCGGGUUGCCGCAAGGCCUCCCGGGUAACCUACCACCCUUUGUUUAUCACACUUUGUUGCUUUGGCAGGCCUGCCCUCGGGCUGCUGGCUCCGGCCGGCGAGCGCCUGCCAGAGGACCUAAACUCUGUUUGUCUAUACUGUCUGAGUACUAUAUAAUAGUUAAAACUUUCAACAACGGAUCUCUUGGUUCUGGCAUCGAUGAAGAACGCAGCGAAAUGCGAUAAGUAAUGUGAAUUGCAGAAUUCAGUGAAUCAUCGAAUCUUUGAACGCACAUUGCGCCCCCUGGUAUUCCGGGGGGCAUGCCUGUCCGAGCGUCAUUACAACCCUCAAGCUCAGCUUGGUGUUGGGCCCCGCCGCCCCGGCGGGCCCUAAAGUCAGUGGCGGUGCCGUCCGGCUCCGAGCGUAGUAAUUCUUCUCGCUCUGGAGGCCCGGUCGCGUGCCCGCCAGCAACCCCCAAUUUUUUUCAGGUUGACCUCGGAUCAGGUAGGGAUACCCGCUGAACUUAAGCAUAUCAAUAAGCGGGAAGGAA